rnacentral:rRNA from 1 species
CCUACGGGUGGCAGCAGUGAGGAAUAUUGGUCAAUGGGCGUAAGCCUGAACCAGCCAAGUCGCGUGAGGGAUGAAGGUUCUAUGGAUCGUAAACCUCUUUUAUAAGGGAAUAAAGUGCGGGACGUGUCCUGUUUUGUAUGUGCCUUUUGAAUAAGAAUAGGUUAACUCUGUGCCAGCAGCAGCGGUAAUCCGGAGGAUCAGAGCGUUAUACGGAUUUAUUGGGUUUAAAGGGUGCGUAGGCGGCCGUUUAAUGCGGCGGUGAAAGUCUGUGGCUCAACCAAAGAUUUGCCGUUGAAACUGGGAGGCUUGAGUAUGUUUGAGGCAGGCGGAAUGCGUGGUGUAGCGGUGAAAUGCUUAGAGAUAACGCAGAACCCCGAUUGCGAAGGCAGCCUGCCAGGCCAUGACUGACGCUGAUGCACGAAAGCGUGGGGAUCAAACAGGAUUAGAUACCCUAGUAGUC